rnacentral:rRNA from 1 species
GACGAACGCUGGCGGCGUGCUUAACACAUGCAAGUCGAGCGGUAAGGCCCUUUCGGGGGUACACGAGCGGCAAAACGGGUGAGUAACACGUGGGUGACCUGCCCUUAGCUCUGGGAUAAGCCUGGGAAACUGGGUCUAAUACCGGAUAUGACUCCAUGACGCAUGUUGUGGGGUGGAAAGCCUUGUGCGGCUGGGGAUGGCCCGCGGCCUAUCAGCUUGUUGGUGGGGUGAUGGCCUACCAAGGCGA